rnacentral:misc_RNA from 1 species
GAAAUGCGAUAAGUAGUGUGAAUUGCAGAAUUCAGUGAAUCAUCGAAUCUUUGAACGCACAUUGCGCCCUCUGGCAUUCCGGGGGGCAUGCCUGUCCGAGCGUCAUUACGCACCCUCAAGCCCGGCUUGUGUGAUGGGCCCCGGCGUCUCGUUCGCGAGACGGGCCCGAAAGGCAGCGGCGGCGUCGACCCAAUGAGCCCGAGCGUAUGGGGACUUCUGUCACACGUUCGCGGUGCGGACCGGCGCCUGCUUGACUUUUCUGAUUAUCCAGGUUGACCUCGGAUCAGGUAGGGAUACCCGCUGAACUUAAGC